GGAAGGACGCUUAGGGCUAAGGGGGCUAGCGGAUGGAAGUGCUAGUCUAAGGUUGUAGGAGGUUAUACAGGCAAAUCCGUAUAACAAUACUCCGAGAACUGAAAGGCUUUUUGAAGUCUUCGGAUGGAUAGAAGAACCCCUGAUGCCGUCGAGCCAAGAAAAGUUUCUAAGUUUAGCUAAUGUUGCCCGUACCGUAAACCGACACAGGUGGGUGGGAUGAGUAUUCUAAGGCGCGUGGAAGAACUCUCUUUAAGGAACUCUGCAAAAUAGCACCGUAUCUUCGGUAUAAGGUGUGGUUAGCUUCGUACUAGGAUUUACUCCGAAAGCGAAGAAACUUACAACAAAGAGUCCCUCCCGACUGUUUACCAAAAACACAGCACUCUGCUAACUCGUAAGAGGAUGUAUAGGGUGUGACGCCUGCCCGGUGCUCGAAGGUUAAUUGAUGGGGUUAGCAUUAGCGAAGCUCUUGAUCGAAGCCCGAGUAAACGGCGGCCGUAACUAUAACGGUCCUAAGGUAGCGAAAUUCCUUGUCGGUUAAAUACCGACCUGCAUGAAUGGCGUAACGAGAUGGGAGCUGUCUCAAAGAGGGAUCCAGUGAAAUUGUAGUGGAGGUGAAAAUUCCUCCUACCCGCGGCAAGACGGAAAGACCCCGUGGACCUUUACUACAGCUUGACACUGCUACUUGGAUAAGAAUGUGCAGGAUAGGUGGGAGGCUUUGAGUAUAUGACGCCAGUUGUAUAUGAGCCAUUGUUGAGAUACCACUCUUUCUUAUUUGGGUAGCUAACCAGCUUGAGUUAUCCUCAAGUGGGACAAUGUCUGGUGGGUAGUUUGACUGGGGCGGUCGCCUCCCAAAUAAUAACGGAGGCUUACAAAGGUUGGCUCAGAACGGUUGGAAAUCGUUCGUAGAGUAUAAAGGUAUAAGCCAGCUUAACUGCAAGACAUACAAGUCAAGCAGAGACGAAAGUCGGUCUUAGUGAUCCGGUGGUUCUGUGUGGAAGGGCCAUCGCUCAAAGGAUAAAAGGUACCCCGGGGAUAACAGGCUGAUCUCCCCCAAGAGCUCACAUCGACGGGGAGGUUUGGCACCUCGAUGUCGGCUCAUCGCAUCCUGGGGCUGGAGCAGGUCCCAAGGGUAUGGCUGUUCGCCAUUUAAAGCGGUACGCGAGCUGGGUUCAGAACGUCGUGAGACAGUUCGGUCCCUAUCUGCCGUGGGCGUAAGAAGAUUGAAGAGAUUUGACCCUAGUACGAGAGGACCGGGUUGAACAAACCACUGGUGUAGCUGUUGUUCUGCCAAGAGCAUCGCAGCGUAGCUAAGUUUGGAAAGGAUAAACGCUGAAAGCAUCUAAGCGUGAAGCCAACUCUAAGAUGAAUCUUCUCUAAGCUCUCUAGAAGACUACUAGUUUGAUAGGCUGGGUGUGUAAUGGAUGAAAGUCCUUUAGCUGACCAGUACUAAUAGAGCGUUUGGCUUAUCUUU
rnacentral:rRNA from 1 species